GGGGGAUUAGCUCAUUUGGCUAGAGUACUUGCCUGGCAGGCAAGGGGUGACCGGUUCGAAUCCGGUAUUCUCCA
rfam:Flavobacteriaceae bacterium CRH Contig28, whole genome shotgun sequence.